UAACUUCUAUUUGUUUACAAGCUUUUUGCUAGAACAGUGGUUUUCAGCCUUUUCAAGUGCCAGUGUUUCCAGCAGGGAGCAGUAGGUGUGCCAGUAACUCUGUGCAAUGUUAAGUUGCUGUUGUAAAACAGAGACCUACCCCAUCACAGCGAGGUUCGUGUCUGCACUUGCUUGUUUGUUGCCUCAUUCUGUCACAGCCAGGAUGAAGUUCCCAGCCCUGCAUCGUGGACAGUGAUUCGGGGGUCCUGAAGCUGCACCCCUGCCUCUUCCUCCUGCUGCUGAUCCUGGGGCGCCUGUACCCCUCCCCGAUAGACAGCACCUCCUCCACACUGAGCCUGGCCCCCUUCAUGUCCUUCAUCAUCAGAUAAUGGAAAGGCAGGGCUGCCUUCAAUCCAGC